AACAACUAAACUGUAUAUUUUUGGUUGCUUGAAGAUCUAUACAAGAUCUCUUUAAAAUCUUACAAAAUCUCUCCAAAAUCUCUCCAAAAUCUUGUAGAGAUUCUUGUCUCAAAAAUGAAAGCCACAAGAUCUUUAUAAGAUUUCCUCAACAUCCUUAUAAAAGGGUCCAUACCCCCUCUUGAUCCUCAUUUUCUUGUGUAGACAACACUCUCCUCUCCCUCUCGAAAUCAUCUGCACACACACACACAUAACACCUCACUUUCCCUUAGAACACUCAUACAACACCCCAAAACCCUUCCCCUCUUCCUCUCGUUCGUCUGACCCGACCACCGGAGCAUCACCGGUAGGUCACCAGCACUCUGCAUCUCUGUCUCUCUCGUGAACCUUGCCAGCGACCAAAGCCGGAUUAUCGGUCGGGAAACCAGCGUGGAUUCCGACAAUCCCACAUCGCCUCUGACCCCCUUUUCGAUUUACAAAACGGAUCACCACCACCUCCGUCCGGUGGUGGUGCGGCGGCUACGAAACAGAAGAGAGAGAGACCGAGAAGAGAGAGAAAUCGGAGGCGAAGGAGUGACGGCGGUAGAUUUUCAGGCGACAAGGGCGACCUGUUGAAGUCUGACAGUGGCAUUUUAUUCCGACGAGUUUUUCCGUCCGCUUAGGGUCAGACGCAGGUGCUUUGUUUCAGGCUCGGUCAACAGCCGUCAACAAGGUGUUCAGGUCAAACAAAGUCAAACCAGUCAACACGUCAGGUUGACUAGUCAAAGACGGUCAACGGGUCGAGUCUCGAGCUUCGGGUCAACAACAGGUUAAGCGUGGUCAACAGUCAAUGGGUCGGUUUCAGAUUCGGUUCGAUCGACAAGUCAAUAGGUAGCUCGGUAUAGUUUUGGUCAGAAUUGAGGUUCAGUUCGAUGCUCGGGUCAACUGUUAGUCAACUCGGUCCAACCCGGUCAAUUCAGUCAAUCGUCUCGACGUGAAAGAUUUGGAAUAUUGUAGAAUGCACGCUAGCGAAUCUCGUCUUGGAAACGACAUCACGAAGUCGUAAUUAGCUAGCUUUGCAUAUGGAAAUCCAGGAUACUUUCUCAAAUUAUGGCACAGUUGGAAUAGGAUAACCAUUGGAGAUUCGAGUACUUAGUGGGCGUUCGUUGUAACAUCUGUGCUUGUAAUCAUUGUAAACAGUUCAGUUAUCAAUGAAAUAAAGUUAUUUGAUCCCAAUGUUUGUUUGUUUGUGUUUGAAAUUUUUCAUAUUUUGACUUUUACUCAAUUUCAAACCCUAUAUCGCUUUCUGGAGAAUUAUA
rnacentral:lncRNA from 1 species